AGCAGCAGCCGCGGGAAAACGGAGGGUGCAAGCGUUAAUCGGAAUUACUGGGCGUAAAGCGCACGCAGGCGGUCUGACAAGUCAGAUGUGAAAUCCCCGGGCUUAACCUGGGAACUGCAUUUGAAACUGUCAGGCUGGAGUCUUGUAGAGGGGGGUGGAAUUCCAGGUGUAGCGGUGAAAUGCGUAGAGAUCUGGAGGAAUACCGGUGGCGAAGGCGGCCCCCUGGACAAAGACUGACGCUCAGGUGCGAAAGCGUGGGGAGCAAACAGGAUUAGAUACCCCGGUAGUCCCUGUCUCUUAUAC
rnacentral:rRNA from 1 species